rnacentral:rRNA from 1 species
GACGAACGCUGGCGGCGUGCUUAACACAUGCAAGUCGAACGAUGACGACCGAGCUUGCUCGGUCUGAUUAGUGGCGAACGGGUGAGUAACACGUGAGCAACCUGCCCUUCACUCUGGGAUAACCCCGGGAAAUCGGGGCUAAUACCGGAUAUGAGCUCCUGUCGCAUGGCGGGCGUUGGAAAGUUGUUCGGUGACUGUUGGGUUGGCGGCCUAUCGGUUUGUUGGUGAGGUAGUGGCUCACCAAGGCGAUGACGGGUAGCCAGCCUGAGCCGGCGAGCGGCGACGCUGGGACUGAGAGACGGCCCAGGCUGCGACGGGAGGCAGAAGGGGGGAAGAUUGCAGGAUGGGCGAAAGGCUGGUGAAGAGGGGCCGCGGGAGGGAAGACGGCCUUAGGGUUGUAAAACACAUUCAGCAGGGAAGAAGCGAAAGUGGCGGUACCUGAAGAAGAAGCGCCGGGUAACUACGGGC